rnacentral:rRNA from 1 species
GACAGAGGGUGCAAACGUUGCUCGGAAUCACUGGGCGUAAAGGGCGUGUAGGCGGGAAGGAAAGUCAGAUGUGAAAUCCCCAAGGCUCAACCUGGGAACUGCAUUUGAAACUCCCCGUUUCUUGAGUACCGGAGAGGGAAAGUGGAAUUUCUGGGUGUAGAGGUGAAAUUCGUAGAUAUCAGGAGGAACACCAGUGGCGAAGGCAGCUCGCUGGGACGUUACUGACGCUGAGGCGCGAAAGCGUGGGGAGCGAACAGG